GACGAACGCUGGCGGCGUGCUUAACACAUGCAAGUCGAACGGAAAGGCCCUGCUUUUGUGGUGUGCUCGAGUGGCGAACGGGUGAGUAACACUUGAGUAACCUGCCCUUGACUUUGGGAUAACUUCAGGAAACUGGGGCUAAUACCGGAUAGGAGCUCCUGCUGCAUGGUGGGGGUUGGAAAGUUUCGGCGGUUGGGGAUGGACUCGCGGCUUAUCAGCUUGUUGGUGGGGUAGUGGCUUACCAAGGCUUUGACGGGUAGCCGGCCUGAGAGGGUGACCGGCAACAUUGGGAAUGAGAUACGGCACGGAGUACUACGGGAGGCAGCAGUAGGGAAUAUUGCACAAUGGGCGGAAGCCUGAUGAAGCAAGGCCGCGUGCGGGAUGACGGCCUUCGGGUUGUAGACCGCUUUCGCCUGUGACGAAGCGUGAGUGACGGUACUGGGUAAAGAAGCACCGGCUAACUACGUG
rnacentral:rRNA from 1 species